rnacentral:SRP_RNA from 1 species
ACCAGGCACAGUGGCGCAUGCCUGUAGUCCCAGCUACUCAGAAGGCUGAGGCUGGAGGAUCACUUGAGUCCAGGAGUUCUGGGCUUGUAGUACGCUAUGCAGAUCGGGUAUCCGCACUAAGUUUGGCAUCAAUAUGGUGACCUCCCAGGAGCAGGGGACCAUCAGGUUGCCUAAGGAGGGAUGAACUGGCCCAGGUUGGAAACGGAGCAGGUCAAAACUCCCAUGCUGAUCAGUAGUAGGAUUGUGCCUGUGAACAGCCACUGUACUCCAGCCUGGGCAGCAUAGUGAGACCCUGUCUCUA